CGUCUAGGUGGCCCGCCAAGUCAGAUGUGAAAUCCCUCGGCUCAACCGAGGAACUGCAUUUGAAACUGGCGAGCUUGAGUACUGUAGAGGGUAGCGGAAUUCCUGGUGUAGAGGUGAAAUUCGUAGAUAUCAGGAGGAACACCAGUGGCGAAGGCGGCUACCUGGCCAGAUACUGACACUAAAGCGCGAAAGCAUGGGGAGCAAACAGGAUUAGAUACCCUGGUAGUC
rnacentral:rRNA from 1 species